GGACUACCGGGGUAUCUAAUCCCGUUUGCUCCCCUAGCUUUCGCGCCUCAGCGUCAGAAGAGGUCCAGUACGUCGCUUUCGCCACCGGCGUUCCUUCUGAUAUCAACGCAUUUCACCGCUCCACCAGAAGUUCCACAUACCCCUACCUCCCUCGAGCUCGCCAGUAUCAAAGGCACUUCUGCAGUUAAGCUGCAGGAUUUCACCACUGACUUGGCAAGCCGCCUACGCGCCCUUUAAGCCCAGUGAUUCCGAACAACGUUCGCACGGUUCGUCUUACCGCGGCUGCUGGCAC
rnacentral:rRNA from 3 species